rnacentral:ncRNA from 2 species
GUAGGUGUUCAAGAACAUGACUGGAAAAAUACUUCAAUCCUCAGCCCACUUGGAUGAAGCCAAAGAAUCCACUGUCUAUCUUUUCUAUUCCAGCUGUACCUGUCAAAGAAUACCCAUCUCGAGUUCUGGAUAUGUGCUCUGAGAAGGUGCCCAUGUCACCGACCACACUGGAGGCCAAUGCAGAUACUGGGGGAAGGUUCC